rnacentral:rRNA from 1 species
AUUGAACGCUGGCGGCAUGCCUUACACAUGCAAGUCGAACGGCAGCAUGAUCUAGCUUGCUAGAUUGAUGGCGAGUGGCGAACGGGUGAGUAAUACAUCGGAACGUGCCCUGUAGUGGGGGAUAACUAGUCGAAAGAUUAGCUAAUACCGCAUACGACCUGAGGGUGAAAGUGGGGGACCGCAAGGCCUCAUGCUAUAGGAGCGGCCGAUGUCUGAUUAGCUAGUUGGUGAGGUAAAGGCUCACCAAGGCGACGAUCAGUAGCUGGUCUGAGAGGACGAUUCGCCCACAUUGGACUUGGGAACCGGCCCAGCUCCUAAGGGGAGGAAGCGGUGGGAAAUUUUGACAAUGGGGGGAAACCCUGACCCAGCAAGGCCGGGUGUUUGAAGAAGGCUUUCGGUUGUAAAGCACUUUUGUCCGGAAAGAAAUGGCUCUGGUUAAUACCUGGGGUCGAUGACGGUACCGGAAGAAUAAGGACCGGCUAACUACGUG